CGUAGGGUGCGAGCGUUAGUCGGAAUUACUGGGCGUAAAGCGUGCGCAGGCGGUUUAGUAAGACAGGCGUGAAAUCCCCGGGCUCAACCUGGGAACUGCGCUUGUGACUGCUAAGCUAGAGUACGGCAGAGGGGGUGGAAUUCCACGUGUAGCAGUGAAAUGCGUAGAGAUGUGGAGGAACACCAAUGGCGAAGGCAGCCCCCUGGGUCGAUACUGACGCUCAUGCACGAAAGCGUGGGUAGCAAACAGGCUUAGAUACCCUGGUAGUCCACGCCCUAAACGAUGUCAACUAGGUGUUGGGAGGGUAAAACCUUUUAGUACCGGAGCUAACGCGUGAAGUUGACCGCCUGGGGAGUACGGCCGCAAGGUUA
rnacentral:rRNA from 1 species